rnacentral:rRNA from 1 species
UACGUAGGGGGCAAGCGUUGUCCGGAUUUAUUGGGCGUAAAGAGCGUGUAGGCGGCCAGGUGGGUCCGUUGUGAAAACUAGCGGCUCAACCUCUAGACGUCGAUGGAAACCAUCUGGCUAGAGUCCGGAAGAGGAGAGUGGAAUUCCUGGUGUAGCGGUGAAAUGCGCAGAUAUCAGGAAGAACACCCGUGGCGAAGGCGGCUCUCUGGGCCGGUACUGACGCUGAGACGCGAAAGCGUGGGGAGCGAACAGG